rnacentral:lncRNA from 1 species
CUCUGAGACAGAAGGAGCCCAGCUGCAGAGAAUCUAGGCCACUGUGACUUGGUCUUCCCCUCUCUGGGAUAUCACAAAGGCCAUAUGAGCCAUUGUGACAAGGCACCAUCAAUCAUCAUGUCCCUUUACCAGGAGGGCCCGUGUCAUAAGCCACUAUAUAAAGGGAAUGAUGGGUGGACUGCUUUGGACAAAUGGACCUGCGGUAGGAGAGAGGGACAACAGUAGGAGCAGGCAGAUCUUGCUGUUUCAACCAAAACCUCAUGCUGACCAGAGUUGAGGAACAGAAGAAGAUGGUGAAGGCCUGCAGGUAUAGGUGUUCAGCAUGUCAUCUGAAAUAUUCCCCACAGAGGCAAAAAGAAAGGAAAUUAUCUCUGAAAAGGAAUGGGAGGACAAGUCAGCAGAAUAUGUCAAUGUUUUGGUUGAAGAAGCUGCUUGAAUCUGGGCUUUUCUGUGCCAUGUGUUCUCCCAGGGCCAGCACAAAGAAGGGCUUUUGGUGCAGGCCCAAGACCACCAUAAUCAUCAUUGAUUAUUCCUCUCCACGCCAGUGUCUCUAAAUAAACUUUCUCUUCUUUCUCUGACAAA